rnacentral:lncRNA from 1 species
UGAGAGGAGGGCCUGGCCCGUGAACUGCCCGUACACGGAGGCAGCAUGGGGAAAGGCAUUGAAGGGCGGGACCCCGGAGCCGACUUGCUGCAGAUCCAAAAAGGCGGAGCUAGAUAAAGAGGAAGGGGUGGAGCUAGAACUGGACACCUCGGGGGUUUCCUGCUUUAUGGCGAAGGGCCAGGGCCCCACACCUUCCGCCUGACAGCCAGCCAAGCUCUUCAGUCCCCCGCCCUCCACCUGCCAGGGAGGCUCCGGGCGUUGUACCUGCCACCACGGGACGGAGUUUUGCUCUUGUUGCCCAAGCUGGAGUGCAAUGGUGCGAUCUUCGCUUACUGCAACCUCUGCUUCCUGGGUUCAAGUGAUUCCCCUGCCUCAGCCUCCCGAGUAGCAGGGAUUACAGAUGGAGCCUCGCUCUGUCACCCAGGCUGGAGUGCAGUGGCACAAUCUCGGGUCACUGCAACCUCCGCCCCCCAGCUUCAAGCGAUUCUCCUGUCUCAGCCUCCCGAGUAGCUAGGAUUACAGGUGCACGCCACCAGGCCUGGCUAAUUUUUAUAUUUUUAGUAGAGAUGGGAUUUUGCCUUGUUGGCCAGGCUGGUCUCAAACUCCUGACCUCAGGUGACCCAUCCACCUUGGCCUCCCAAAGUGCUGGGACUACAGGUGUGAGCCACCAUGCCUGGUCCCCCACUUGUUGAUUUUGCAGAAAAGAUAGCUGUGUUACAACCUGUCCUAAGGUCAGGUAUGAAUACUUGUGCUUCUUUCUUGGCUCCCCAAGCCAGAGGGCAUUCCUAUGCCCAGGUGAGAGAGCACGGAGUGUUACUUUGGCAGCACAGUCAGUUACCAGAGGUAGGAAAAGCAAAGGCCAGGCAGGACAUGAGGGGCCCUUGCACUGGCUGGUUCUCCCUGCCUUCACCACCCUCCAGGUGAAUGACUGGGUGAAUAAUGAUUGACUGAGGAGGUAAUGAAUAAUUUAUGGACACUGCUGGACCUCAGUCUCCUCAUCUGAAAGAUGAGUGGUUGGAGAAGUUUAAUGGUUUUCAAAUGCUUUUUUUUUCAGUCUUCAAAUAAGUGUUUACGUAGAAGCACCAUAUCUGAAACAGGUGACAGUGGACCAGUCUGAAUGAAAUGAGGGUUGGCAGGCCUGAGCUCCAAAACCUUCUGAUUGCCCAAGCCCUCCUUGUCUUGCUUGGAUUAUCUCCACACAAAUGGAGAAACUGGACAAGGUGGUCAUGGAGGUCCCUGAAAGCUCAAAGACUUUCUCAUUCCAGGAUUCCCCAUGUUCAUAUGCCAGCAUGGCAUGGGGGUGCUCUGUAGUCAAGCAGGGUCCUUUGGGGGGCUUAGGGAUGGAGCCAGGAAAUGGCUCUGGGACUCAGCGGGUGUCCAGAGUCUCAUCAGCAGGGUUUCUUUACUUUCACUGAGUGGCUGGUGCCUGCACACUGAGUUUUGCAGGCUUACUCUCACAGAGUGAGCUUCCUGCAGGCCCCCCACUGCAACCCCUUUCCUUCCUGGAGCUGUGUGCUGACUGGUGCGUGAGCACCCCAGGCCCUCUCCCCAUGCUGCUGAUGGUCAGCUUUCUCUGCACGCUCGUGGUUGCCACAGUCAACGCUGAUAAAAUUGCUGAUGCAGAUUGCCUGCCCAGCUGCGAGUGCUGGCACGGGACCAGCAGCCCAGACGGUCACUGGAAGUGGUUGGGCUGAUUAUUGGCAUCAUCUCCAUUGUCCUACUCGGUUCUUAAAGGCAUAUGGACUUGCCUCACUCCUACAGCAAAUGACGGCAUGGGCAAAGAGGGGCAACAGACCCACCCUGAAGACACUCCUCAUCUGGUUGACUUGGCAGGGUUAAGGGAAAAAGAUGUGAUGACUAGGAGCUGAGAGCUUAGUGGUUCUGCCAGAGCUGCAGAGUCUUUGUUGGCCUCAGGGUGGGACCUCUCACAUCUCUGUCAGCUUUUCACGGACACCAACCUGUUAUGAUUCAUUUCACCUGUCCUGAGCACUAGCAAGAAAAAUUCGCUGUAGCUUGUGAUGUAUUAUUCUGGAUUUCUCAACUCAUUCAUUUGUUCAUUCAUUCACUAUACCAUUACUGUCUAUUAUAAGGGGGGCACAAUGGUAGGUGCUGGGAAUAAAAACGAUGUUUAACGUUUCAUGAGGCUUCCCUGUCCUUAAGGAGUCCGCGUGUCUUUGUACCUGUCUGUCUGCUAGAUUAUUAAGUGACACUGUGAGAAGCUACUGAGAGCAGCAUGUGGGACAUGCAGAAGGGCAAGAGGCAGGAGAGAUGAUUCAUGUCGGAGGGGCAGGGGAGGACUGACGGAGAGGGUGAUGUUUGGCUGAGUCAUGAAGGCUAGUGGUAUUUUUCCAUGCAGAGAAGUGGGAGGAAAGGCAUUCUGUGUGGAGGGCACACAGUGUGCAAGGGCAGAGAGGUGUGAGCGAGGGUGGUGAGCUCGGGGCCAUGAGUAAUGCAAGAGCAUGGGGUGUGCAGGAUGAGUGGCCAAAGGUGGGGCUAGGAAAUAGUGGCUGAGGUCAUUAUGUGAAGGCUUUGUGCUACUGCUUCAGAGUUGUGGAACGUGAUGUUGCAAUCUGGGAAAGACGCUGAUGGCAAGGGAUAGCAUCAUCAGGUUGUGCUGCCAUCCCUGAAAGGCCCAGGCUCAAAGGUUUUGGGUGAAGGAAGCCAGGAGGGUUAGAAAGGGAGGAAGAUGCCAGGGCAUCUGGUAAAAUAAAGCAUGUGUCAGGCUUGGAGUUGCAUAAGGCAGGUGCCCUGAGCCCAUUGAUGCAACUUCCAGCUGCUUUGAUGGAGCACAGGCUCAUUUGGAGAAUAGACCUUCUCUGGCCCUUGCCCACCCUGUUCACCUCCCAGGGCCCAGCUUCUCACCUGCUCGCCUUUGGUGUGGCUGGGGGAGGCAUAGGCCUCUGGGUAGUGCUGCCGCUCAAAUGGGCACUCGAGCGGCUCGAGGUGGUGCUGGCUGAAGGCAUCCGUGCGAAGGUGCUUUCGGGGUCCGCUGCUGCUGCUCUGUGAGUCAAUGCUUAGUCGGCAGCUAUCCUGAUCACCUGGUACCCCCCGGGAAGGAAGAAAGCUUUUAGGGGACCUAUCUAUUCAUGCUCUAGGCCAAAGUAGAGGACUGACUCCAAGCUGACUCACUGUGGAGGGAGAAAAAGGGCCAGCCACGUGGGCCCAGGAGCCUUGGCCAACUGAGGGACAGGACAUGUGACAGUCACAUGCAGAGCCCCUACAAAGUCCCAUAUCAUAAGUGGAAGGGUUUCUGUCCCCAUCAAAGCCUGAGCAAACUGCUCUCGUGCACCGCCCGCUGCCCUCCUGUCCCAGCACUCACUGUCAUCCAUUUUCCUCUUGUCGCUGCCAGGCUGAGCGAUGCCCAGGAGCCCAUUGAUGGAGUAGGUGGAGCCCAGGGAAUCCGACUGGGGUGACUCCGGGGGAGUUACAGCUGAGCUGGG